UUUGACUUUGAACGCCUAGAGCGGUUGCAAACAAACAAAAUUAAAAUAAUAAUAAAAAUAAAUAUCUCCUGAAAUAAAUGUAUUAUUUUCAUAUAUGAGAAUAAGAAAAGAAGUUUAAAAACAAUCUAUCAAAAUGGAGGAGAAUCUCGAAAAUGAAUGUGAGGAUUUAGUUGAUGAAGUCUCGGACAUGAGACAAAGAUAUCCAGCCUAUUGUUCUUACAAAUUGGAAAAAACUCUCAAACUAACUAGAGAAAUCAAUUCAAUGUAUAUGAAGACUGAUUCACUGCAUUUCGGUAAAUUAGAAAUACCAUUGCAAUUAGAAGGAGAAAGAAAAAAGAUUUAUGAAAAUUAUGUGUCGAAAUUAUCAAAUAAUGAAAAUUCAAAUUCUAAAGAGAAAUGGAAAAAUAUGUUGACAAAUGUAAAUAAUUAUGUGAAAAUUGCCGAGCAACUCAGAGCAGAAAAAAAAUCACCCAUUGUUCGUAGUAUUAAAAAAUUAUCUCAAGAUAUUGGAAAAAAUUGAACAACCCAAAAAUUCUGGAAUAAAAUUGCGAGGGAAUUUUACAAAAUUUUCAAAUUAAGACUCAAGUUUAUCGAGGACUUCAGCUUUUAAUUGAUUCAUCAUUUUUAAUUCAUUCUCGGGAGAAAAUCAAUUCCAAGGGAACUCGAGAAUCUUUAAAAUUAAAAGGUGUUCAAUGAUUCAUCGCAAAUUUUAUGCCAUUGUGUCCGUGACCUGUAAAUUUUGUAUAAUAAGAGGAGCACUUUGACAUUUCUGAAGAAAUAAUAAUCAGUUUCUAGAAAUGAAUAGUAUUUUUUGGUAUUUUAAAAAUUUUUAAUUCUGUAAAAUAAGAUUUGUUAACUAUUCAAAAAGAUACUUCUUAACGUUACGAUAAUUUACAGUAUAGUAGAAAUUAGCAUACUUCUGGAAGAAUCUAUAUUAUUCUAAAAAUGUUUGAAGGAAUCCUAGACUUGGAUUCAUUUAUCUAUCCAUGUUAAUAAGUAGAAUUUUUAAUGGAAAAGAAUAUUAAGAGGCCAGAAUUGUAGUUAAAAUAUGCAAUAAAUUAAAAUAAAUAUAUUUGUAAGAUACCGCAA